AAAACACUUUCCAGCCUCCUUAAAAGGAAGAGGAAAACAUUGUUAUCGUCUAAGGUUGAUAAAGAUUGUGGAUGUAAUAAGAACUUCUGGCGUGAUUAUUGAGAAUUGUUCAGCGAGGAUGGAACUGCACCCACCAAAAGUAGAUGACUUAGCAUUAGGGAUUACAAGAAAAUUCUUCCUAUCAGCUCUGGUUGCCUGGUUUGGCGCUUGUGAAUCAGAUCAGCAAGAUAAACAGCAGCGGUCCCGUGCAGGUACUUGAAGGUCAGCAAUAGUAUCUUGUAUUCGAUCC